rnacentral:misc_RNA from 1 species
AAGAUGUGUAUAAGAGACAGGUGAAUCAUCGAAUCUUUGAACGCACAUUGCGCCCUCUGGUAUUCCGGGGGGCAUGCCUGUUCGAGCGUCAUUACAACCCUCAAGCUCUGCUUGGUAUUGGGCCCUGCCGGCUUCCGGCAGGCCUUAAAAUCAGUGGCGGUGCCAUUCGGCUUCAAGCGUAGUAAUUCUUCUCGCUUUGGAGAUCCGGGUGUGUGCUUGCCAGCAACCCCCAAUUUUUUCAGGUUGACCUCGGAUCAGGUAGGGAUACCCGCUGAACUUAAGCAUAUCAAUAAGCGGAGG